UUAGCCUAUGUACUGUAUCAUAUCUUCCCGGAGCUUGGUUGGGGAACAUGGACGCCUGUACAGGAAACUGCCGCGUAGCAUGAAGAGGAGGGCAACAUUGGUGUACAGUUCGGUUUACGGUCAGGAUUUUAGGUCUGUAGCUUUGUUUUGUUUUCCACCCGUCGAUUAUAACUUGUAAGGACCACUCUAGUCAUCUCCAUUCUUUAUUUGUUCGUUCAAACUUAUUUCCAUGUAGUGCUGCCUUGUUGAAUGAGUAAUUAACACCUUGAGGUGUUCUUUGGAAUGUGGAAUUUCUUGUACCUGCUUGAUUGACUUGUUUCAUGUGAAACUCUUGCAGUCCAGAGUUCGGACCGUUGUAGGAUUUCAAUCCAUUGAAUUCUUCACCUCCGGAGGAUAUUUGUAUGUGUUGAGUAACGUGAUUGUAUUAGGAAACAUAGGUUAGACUAGGAAAUAUUCUGGCUUGCUUUGUAUUUCAAAUAGAUAAUGUACUCCUAUAUNNNNNNNNNNGAGGCUCAAGCAAUACAUAAAACUAUUCCACCAAACCUUUCUCUCCCUUCUAACAGUAUGGAAGGAACGCCACAUUUGAAUUUCCUAUGGAUUGUUGUCCUACAUAGACCCUUGAAACUUUUCUUUGUUUGACAAGAAGUAAAUUGCUCAAAACCAUCACAUCUGUGGCUGGGCUAAAUUGUCACUGUUUUUUUUGUGUGCCAAAAAUCAUAAAAGCCCACCAUUUCUGCGGUGAGUAACAAAUUACAUUGAUUUGGAGAUCAGCCAUGUCUACCCAGUUGGGCUCACCGCCAGUUCCAACGAACCACUUGCUUGUCGCAGAAGCGGUGAGUUAUUAUGAUUUUUUGGCAAAAGCGGUGGCAAUAUUCUUAUGUCAUGCACCGAGUUUUAAAAGAUAUGCAUGUUUUCUCCUUGUGGUGCAACCAGAUAACUUCUAUCAUUGCUAUUUCCAUGUCAUCACUUCCUAUGGUAUUUAGCAUGCUAUUGCAUUUCAGUCCUUUGUUUUGCAUGUUCCCGUGUUCUAAUAAAAUCUUCUAAUGGUUGAUAUUUUGCAUGUAUUUUUCUUUAUUUUGUAGCAAAUAGUUUCAUUGAGUAACUGGUGAUUUCGUAUUGUAAUUGCCACAAUGCAAUAUUUAUACACGAAUAUUCAUUUCUACUUUCAACUCCAAAUUUAGGCCAAAUUACCAUGGGAGAACAAAAAUGUCCUUUCUUUUACCCGAGUUCUCAGGUAAAAUAAACAUUGAUGAAAUGCACGGUUGUACCCCUAUUUAAGAAUUCAUCUGAUUAACCAGUUAACUUGCCGAUAAAUCCCUACUUGUAGGGUCAUCGAGUAGCCGAUAAACUGAUAAAUCGUCUGAUCAAUUAAUUAAAAUGGUCGAUUAACUUGCCGAUUAGUUUAUUAAUCCCUACUCGCCAACCAACCAAAUAACUACUCCCUCCAUCCCAUAAUAUAAGAGCGUUUUGACACUACACUAGUGUCAAAAAGUUCUUAUAUUAUGGGACGGAGGGAGUACCAAUUAACGAUUUCUUGUAUCAGAUCCGGCCUCCUCUCAUGACUGCCCCAAUUAGGGUUUCUCCACCUCCCGUCGAUCUAUUGAGGCUUCGGGGGCCUUAGGGCCAUGGAGGCCCAAUUGACCUCAUCCUUGCUAGCAGGAGGGUUCCUUCUUUGUUUUAAGGUUUUUAUAGGCCGAUUAGGAUUGUGUCCUGCUCAGAAAGGAGAGACGGCAACGACUCCCUGAAGAUGGAAUAAGGCCUUCCCCGCCUAGCUCCACCCCGAUGGUGUGAUGUCGUCAGAGGGCCUGUAAAGGUGUGUCUUCGGCCGAUCUCAUGGGAUUCGGGCAGUGUUGGUUUCGUCGGAUCUGCGUGGAUCCAGUCUUCAUUCGUGUGUCUACAUGUUGAAUUCUUUUAAUAUAAGCUUCUCUUCAUUGACAUCGAUUGUUAUUCUGGUGUGCCGAUCUUGCGGGGUCUUAGCACAACAACUUCCUGUCUGUCUAGUACAACAGGUUUUGUCUUGUUCCGAUAAAGGAGAGGCGAUGAUGGCGGCGCGCCUUUGGCUCGCUGCUUUGUAGUCGUCGCUACAUGAUCUACGAGAUGUAAUUUUUUUAUUUCUAAUGUUUCUUGUACUGCCAUGUCUCAUAUAAUGAAGAAAGGAAGGAUUCUGGCCAAAAGAAUAGAAAUAAACAUUGAUUAUUUAUUACACAAAAUUAGCUCGGAAUUUUGGAAUUCGAGAUGAAUUUGCUUCCUGCAGAUCUCCUUUUCGUUUCCACCCCUAAACUUACAACAAAACCCAAACCACAACCCUCCUCUUUACUUGCCUUACAAGUAGAUCCCUCGUUAACCUUCCCCCCCGACUCUGCUUCCUCCUCACUUCCCCCAAAUCCCCCACCCGAACCCUCGGAAUCCCUCCCUCGCCGCCGCCGACCCCUCCGCCGAUCUCCCCGCCGCCGAGAUGUCUCGCCGCUACGACAGCCGCACCACGAUCUUCUCGCCGGAGGGCCGGCUGUACCAGGUGGAGUACGCGAUGGAGGCGAUCGGGAACGCCGGGUCGGCGCUCGGGAUCCUGGCGGCCGACGGCGUCGUCCUCGUCGGCGAGAAGAAGGUUACCUCCAAGCUGCUCCAGUCCUCCCGAUCCGCGGAGAAGAUGUACAAGAUCGACUCCCACCUCGCCUGCGCCGUCGCCGGGAUCAUGUCCGACGCCAACAUCCUCAUCAACACCGCCCGCCUCCACGCCCAGCGCUACGCGCUCUCCUACCAGGAGCCCAUCCCCGUCGAGCAGCUCGUCCAGUCCCUCUGCGACACCAAGCAGGGCUACACCCAGUUCGGGGGCCUCCGCCCCUUCGGCGUCUCCUUCCUCUUCGCGGGCUGGGACAAGAACCACGGCUUCCAGCUCUACAUGAGCGACCCCUCCGGCAACUACGGCGGCUGGAAGGCCGCCGCCGUCGGGGCCAACAGCCAGGCCGCCCAGUCCAUGCUCAAGCAGGACUACAAGGACGGCAUGACCCGCGAGGAGGCCGUCGCCCUUGCCCUCAAGGUCCUCAGCAAGACCAUGGAUUCCACUAGUUUGACUGCCGAUAAGCUGGAGCUGGCCGAGGUCUUCGUGCAGCCCGGCACUGGGGAGGUGCAGUACCAGGUGUGCUCUCCUGACGCCAUGGGGAAGCUGCUUGCCAAGGCUGGGCUCACGCAGCCCGCGCCUGAGGCCUGAUGUGCUGGUUUGCUGUGGCCUGUGAUGCCUACUACUCUUAGACUGCUUAAUCAGUUAUGCUUCUGUUGUUUUAAGCCAAACUAUUUGACAAUUAUGCAUUUUAAUUUUAUGUUGAACAUGCUUGGUAUUUUCUUUAUCUGAUGGAUUGUCUUGUGCUAGGCGAAAAUUGUGAUCCUUGUGUCCCAUGCUUGAUUGUUAUUGUGACCAGGGGAUAUGGAAGAAUGCGCUUAUAGAAAACUGCAGUGAAACCUAUGUGUUUGACCAUGUUCUCAUCAAGUUUGUUUAGUGAACAAUCCCAAUUGUAAGGAGGUUCUGGUGCUUGGGGCCUGUGUUUAUAAAGUUCAGCGCCUUCAAUAGAUUCAAUACCUAUGCACCAUCUAGUUUGCCCCAUGGAGAAGUUAGUAAUUAUGUAUGAUGAUUGCAUAAAACAUCAUAUAAUAUUGUAGGUUGGAAUCUUGGUGGUCAAAUGUUUUCUUGUUGCUCUAUGUCUAGGUUGUCAUAGACAACAACAAUGAUCAUGUUAGAGCAAGACAAUGGAAAUAGUAGAAGCAUUGUAUGCUACCAACUGUUUACAGCCUGUACUCUGUUCCUUGAAGAAUUAGCUACUUACAAUAAGACAUAAUCUUUGGGCGAUUUUGAUGACUUCUCCAUGAUGACAAUAUCUUGCCAAUUUUUCUGGUAGCCCCCCAUGGGCCCAUUGCACGUUUAUCCUGUAUGUACCUUGCCUUGGAUUUUCUGGAUUGCUCUUGUGUACUGGUGUACUGAUUAGUUAGUUGUGUUCUGUUGAACAACAUGGGAGCAUAACAUGCUGCUAUGCAGUCUGUCAGAUCUAGAUAAAUUUCAUACAAAUAUGGGUGCUGAAUUCUGAUCAGUUCCGCAUUAUUCAAGCAUUUUAGGGGAUUUGAUGCAAGCAAGUAACACUAGAUAUAGUCUGAUUUUGAAAAUCUGUAUGCACGUUAUAGCGCUUGUAUUCAUCUGGUCAAAACGGUAAUGAACUGUAUUUCACUUGUUAAGGAACUCAAUUCUGUGACCUGGGGCUUUUACAGUUAAAAUCGAUAUUAUUGCACUAGUGACUGAGUGCUUCUGCCAAGUUUUAGUUGAGUGCUUCAUAAAAUUCCUGCUCUUCUUGCCUGCUAUUCCUAGUUUUAACAAUAUAAUGCUUGCAACCCCGCUGUGCUCAUCAGACCUGUUAUCUGUCAAGUAUUAGUGCCCUAAUUGGACUGCUGCUGGAGUGCUUAGUUAUCAAACUGUUUCUUCUCCAGCCCUGCAUAGUGUUGAUUCCAAACAGUUUCUUUCUCCAGCCUGAGUUGUUUUCUAGGGUAUUGGCCGGGUCCAGUAGAGUUUCAUGUUUAUCUAUCUGUCCUCGUUCUCGUCAUGUUUUUAUUUCUGAACCACGUGAAGUUACGAACGUUAUAUGGGUACAUUUCAUAAGUCUACCUACUGUAUGGGGAGCCGCUGUGGCCUUUUUAAUGCCAUAAUUUCGCUAGAGAAGCAAGCAUACCCAGCUCAAAGUUUGCCUGACAAACAAUGGUGCCACUGCCAUUGUUGUGGAGAGGAAACCUAUGGGGACGUAGCAAAGGCCAUCGCUGCUGAGGGAUGAAGGACGUCCAUCCGGCUCCUAUGAAGGGGCCUGGAAGACUCGGAUCCCUCGCACUCAGUUCAUUCCAGCAGUAGCAUAAUUCUUGAUGCUUCUCAAUCCCAUGCAGCUCAUUCAGAUAGGACGUGAUCGCUACUUGAAUAUGUGGGUGAUCUUCAUUCAUUCGUAACUAAGGAACAUGACUAAGAGUAUUGUAGUGGAACUAAGGAACAUGACUAGGAGACUUGUAGUGGAACUAUAUUUAUCCCUUGAAAUUGCUGAUGCGAGAUGCUUCGGUAGCUCGCCGCAAUGCAUUUAUCGCCUUGUGCACACACAUUUAUCUUCACUUUCAGCACAUGCACCACCUCUAUUCUAGUCAGUUUGAUUUGCUAUCUUCGCCUUUUAUGGCAGAAUCAUAUCUUUACAUUGUCAUAUGCUCAUAUGUCUUUGAUAUGAUUGCAGCAUACACAUAUGAAUGAUGGAUAUUACAUCAGGGGACACAUGAAUACCAGCGUGACAUCAUACAUGUCUCAUAUUGUCUUUACCGUGACAUAUGUGUACAACCAUUCACGUCCUAGUUUGAAUUUGGUUACUUUUCAUAUUACCAGGAAGGCUGCAUAGUUUGAUUCCUCAUAUUUAUCAUUGUUGGUGCUUGAAGAACCAUUAAUAGACAUUUGCAAUGAAGUUUUAGAACUGACCUCAAAUAUCACAUAUGGAUUAGAACUUGUGCAAGAUGUACACAAGAUCAUCCCUCAACUUACAUUGCAUUUCCCCCCUUUUGGAAAUAAUAAAAUGAAUGUACUUACACAUGCAAUACUUGUUGUACAACCAUGUGACGUUGACAUAUAUAUGGGGAGUCAACUAAUUGCUCCAGCCCAUUAGUUUGAUUCACACCAAAAUAUUCAUCUACCUUGUAUUACCUCGGAGAUGAAUGUGAUUAAUACUUCGUGAAGUGGGGUACUGAAGCAUUAUUAUUUGAGGUGGCUCGGCUAAUAUUUUGCCCCAAACUUUGUGAGGUGGGGAAAAAUCUGAAACAUUAUUUCAGCUGGGUGGAGGUAUACUGGUCAUUUGCCCUUAAUAUGAUUUAAGGGCAUCCUUUUCUUAUUUGGUUGUUUGGGUUGCUCUGAAAAUCAAUUUUAUUGUACGAGUGGAAGUGAUUGAGUGCUGUCAAGAUUUUUUGUACAGUGUUGUACAAAUUCCGGCUUAUCUUGUCUGCUAUUUCCAGUUUUCCAUAUCGCGCCUGUGUUCAUAAGAUCUGUUAUGUUUAAUUAUGCCCCAACGGGAUCGCUACUCGGGUGCUGGGUUUCAAACGGUUUCUAGCCCAGCUUGCGUUGUGUUCCGGUGUGCUGUGUUUUCAAACGGUUUCUUCCUACAGCUUGAGUAGUGUUCUGGGGUGCUGGCCUGGUCCAGUUGCUGCUGCCAUGGGAAGCUCGUGUUUCUCUGACAUGGUUCUCUUCAUGUUUGAUUUCUGAAUCACGUGAAGUUAGGGAUGAUGCAGUCCUAAUUUCUGAAUGGCCUCAAGAUCUGGAUGAUAUACGUGUACAUUUCUAUAGUCUACCAAUAGGAAGAACAUAUCUAAAGUCUACCCAAAUGCGUACAUUUCUGAUGCCAUGGUUUCGUUAGAGAAGAGAGCAUAUAUCCAGCUGAUUCCAACAACGGCCAUUGCCGCCAAGUGACAAGUUUUUUUUUUCGGAAGCAGAGUGACAAGAAUUGUGCAGGAUCACGUGGACAAGUCACUUAAUAAUAUUAAUAUAAAGCUGCUAGAUUCCAAGCGAAUACCUUUGUUUAUCUUUUGAAUUACACUUUGCGGGACAAUAUAAUGAGGUGUUGCAUGAGCCGGUGGGGCGGACCCUUCUAAGAUGCAACAUAACACGUGCUUUCAGAUUGGUUAAUUGCUCAUCUAGAUCCUAAUUUAGUUUGGGGAUAGGAAAUCCGGAUUUCUCGGUUCCUACUGUAGCUUCAUGAUUGAUGGCCUAUGAAUGGAACGCCCAACCGUCUCCAGUGGAGCUGGAAGGUACUCCCUCCGUUCCAAAUUACUUGUCGUGAUUUUAGUUUAAAUUUGAGCUAAAACCACGACGAGUAAUUUAGAACAGAGGGAGUAGAACAUAGCAGCAGUUAAAUGAUCCUCGAUGCUUUUUUUUGAGAAUACGUCAAUAGCGUACCUAAGCUUUAUAGAAGGGAGAAAUAAUUACAAGAGGAUUGUUCUGGCCGUCACCACAAGUUGGCGAAGCCAAAGAGACUCCCACUCCUACUCCUACCAUACACGACUACUCACACAAGUGUUGAACACUCGUUGCUCCUGCCGCUAGCCAAAGUUGCAGCUCUUGAUAAAUCCUCGUGGAGAGUUCCUCUUCCUUGCUAAUGCCAUGGCCACCAAAAACUCGCCCAUUCCUUUGCUUCCAAAUGCUCCAACAGAUCAAUAGCACUAGCGAAUCAAAUCCCUUUCGAUGCCCCUUGGUGAUCCGCUUCCUGGCAGCUGGCCACCAUUCGUGUAAUACAUCCGUCGGCGAGGGCAUCAUCCGCAUGUCGAUGCUUCUCAAGCCUACACAACUCAUUCAGAUGAGACGUGGUCGCUACUUCUUGAAUAUUGUGGAUGAUCUUCAUUCAUCAUAAUUAAGGAACAUGACUAAGAGACUUGUAAUGUCUAUAUUUAUCCUUCAGAAAUUGCUGAUGUGAAGGUGCUUCAGAAGCUCACUGCAAUGCAUUUAUCGGCUUGUGCACACACAAUUCUCUUCACUUUCAGCACAUGCGCCACUUCUUUCUAGCUGGUUUGAUUGGCUAUCUUGGCCUCUUAUGGCAGAAUCGUAUCUUUACCAUGUCAUAUACUCAUGCUUUUGAUAUGAUUGUACCAUCGCAUAUGAAUCAUAAAUAUUAUUACAUCUAGGGACACGUGAUUACUAGCAUGACGUCGUACACGUAUCAUGUUGCCUUUACCGUGUCAUAUGCUCACGCAACUUUGAUAUGAUUAUACCAUACACAUACGAACCAUGGAUAUUACAUGUAGCGGACACAUGAUUAGUAGCCUGACUCGUAUAAGUAUCAUGUGAUAAGUUGAUUGGAGAUGUCGUGUUAUUAUGGUGUACAAUCACCUUUGGCGUCUCAGUCCUGAUGUGCUGGUUUGUUGUGGCGUGUGACGCCCAGCUCUUAGAGCAUCUCUAGCAGACCCUGUAAAAACUCAUACUAUAGAAUCAUUUUAGGGUAUAACACAAAAUGUUUUCACGGUAUGAUGUUUGUGUCCUGCAAAAUAGCACAACACACCCUAAAAGCAAAAUGUAAAUUACAAUAGGCGCCCUAGAUCACCGAUGCCUCGUCAGUGCCUCGCUGCCGGCGACGAGCACCUCCUCCUUCCCUCCUUUCCUUUUUCUUCCAUUGCCCUCCUGGGUUCUCUCUCUCACGCAUUCCCUUCUCCCUCUACACAGGAGCACCGAACCCGCCAUGGACAGGGAGCUCACAGCUCGCGCAGCCCGGAUCCGCCACGUUCGCCCACACCCAACCAGAUCUGCCGUCCUCCGCCACAGUUUCGUCACCGCUGCCGUCGUAUUCUGGCUCGCUGCCGCCGGACCUGACGCCCGCAUCUCGCGUUAAGCCCUGCAUCGCGCCGCCAACCUCCUGCCUCGUGCGCCUGCACGGGGCAGACACAGCCAAGCCGUGCCUCGUGCGCUUUGAUGGAACAAAGGCAGUGUGAGGCUCUGGCUGCUCCAUGGCGACACGCGGUCGGUCGAGGGAGGUGCUACGGUGAGCUACCGGCGAGAGGCUAGCGGCGCCGGAAGCGCAGGGGCUAGAGCGGUUGCUCCUGAAACUUCCCUCCAGCCAACCGUUUUUUAGUGGGAGCUGAAAAAAGCCCCGAAAACUGAAGACCUAUUUUCCUUACUAGUACAAAUGCCCGUGCGUUGCAACAAGCGAAAUUUUUAAAACAUACGCAACACUUCUUAUAUCCAAUUUUGGCAAACGUCAGAAAUAAGGUUACACUUUUGUUAAGUACGUUUCUUAUUCCUAUUUUUGUAACAACGUGUGCACUUUUGUAGUUUUGAUACUGAGAUUGACAAGAUUGAGAAUACAUAUAGAUAUGUAAUAUAUUGUUUGGUUUAUCUUUAAGAAAUAAAAGUGUGAGCACGCACUACCUUCACUAAAAUAGGCUUCUUUUAUGAAAUUGCUUGAGUCUGAUGGUCUAUGUUGGAUACAUGUUCGACAAGUGUAGGUAUGUGCUGAGAGGAAGUUCUGUCAAAUCAUAGUUAAUUUUUUCAAAGAGCAUGAGAAUAAUUAGCAUGUACCGGCAAGAUGUAUUGGUAUUUUUUCCUGAUCAAAGCUUAUAAACACCCGCAAAGCUCUGGCCUUUGCUUACCGUCCUUUUGAUCUCAAUAAAGUAUGCACUUCCUUUAAUUGAUAGGAUUUCUUUUAAGGUCGUCUAGGGUUUGUCUAAUUUGGGAUUAAUUUUCUAAAGCUAGAGUUAUGCACGGGUACACGCACGACCGAAAGCACCACUCUGCCGGCGUGAGAUAGUCAAUAUUUAGAACAAAAUAUUGUGUGGCUAUUCCCCGCAAAAUAAUAAUAUAGAAUAAAUUACGUGGUUAUCUUUUGUUUUAUCUGAUUGAAGCUAGAUCAAGCCAACACACAAUGGCAAUCAGCACGUCAGAGUUUAGGGCGGCCAGAUCCGGUGGCAGGUUCAACAUUCAAGAAUAAGAAUUAUCAUCAAAUCUUGGCAUAGCAACAAUACCAUGGAUCAAAGAAAGUUGUAGCUUUGCCUCUGUGAAUUUAAAUAGAAAAAUAACUUAAAGCCACAAUAUCUCUCUCAAAGGUAAUUACCAAUGUUUAACAGAUUUUUGGAUAGGUAUGUAAGCAUCAGAAGCAGUAUAUAUAUUCUUUUAACUGGGAUCUUGUAUAGAAAGCAAAGCAUUAGUAUUAUCUAAACCUAUGUAGUUCCCUAAGAUAUCAUCUAGUGAAAUAUUUCCUUCACUCAGGGGCAAUUCAUUAUUCGGAGAUAAUUUCGAGCUGGUUGGUGACCGAGGUGCUGGCAAUGGAUCACUUUUUGUCCUAUUAUCUAACUUAGGAACCAUCGAUUCAAAACAUUCAGAGACUGGAGAUAAUGUUGAGAUGAUUGGUGAAGCGGGUGAUUGCUCCAAAACACCGGACUCCAUACUCUUUUUUUAAAGCUCGGUUAUCAAAAUCCUGAACAAUGGUCAAUUUAGUGUUGUCAUUCAUUUUCUGCAAUGAUAAAAAAAGAUAGUUAAAUGUUCUGGUAAUAUUGUUCAAAUCAUAUUCAAGAUUAUUACAAAGUUGAACCAAGAAGGAAUAAAAAAAAUACUUGAUCAAGACUGUUACAAUUCCUGUACCAAAUUUCUUCUAACUGGUAUAUGAAAACUUACUAUAUAUUUUUUCACAGAAGAGUUGCUCUAUUACAUGUACUGCUAUAGUAGAGGGAUUUAGAUUCUCUACUGUUAUUGUCUAAAACCAAGAAGAGAUAAUAAAAGUAAUAUUUGAUCGAGGCCAACCACUAAUGCGCACCUUCAGGCAAAAAAUUACAAAUACGUAGAGUGGAAUCAUAUAGUAUCUAUGACCGCGACAACGAUUUUUUUGCUAGAACUGUUCUUUUUUUUUUUGCUAGGACCGGUCAAAUUUUGUGGUGCGACCCGGAGACGGUGAGUCAUUGUUUUUGCUGGAAUACUACAUUAGUUUCUUAGAAGAAAACAUAAAUAGAGCAUUAACUAACAACAGGUUAUUGGAUCUUAACACCAAAACAGUCAAUUAAAUAAGUAUAAAAUUCAGAGGCUACUUCUAUGUAAAACUGUAGUUAAAUAGAAGCCUGCUUGGUUUACUUCUAUCACUUCUAUUUACUGUUAAGAAGGGCUGCAGGGUAAUUACAUGAACACCAGUGAGAAAUUGCACAGGGAAAGAAAUUAACAUAAUGGAAAUUCAGGUUGCCAACUCAACUGGAAAAACAGAAGGGCAUGGAAAAGCAACAUCGUGACCCGUUUAGGCAUUCACUUGUUUAGAGCUUACAGAGCAUGUACCAAAAACAUACAUAAUUAAUAAGUAGUACUUGAUGACUGAUGCAAAAUACUUGAUCAACAUCACCUUCAGUUCUGGGAUGUAGAGUGGAACCACAUAGCACUGGUCUCAAUCACUAAUGCACACAUUGAGCCAAUUAAGGACAGAGAUGUAGAGCGGAACCAUAUAACACUGAGACCUUGUCUAUUCAUCAAAUCAGUAGGUUUUUAAAAUUGAAAAGGCCUUUCCAAUAAGCAAAAACCAUAGAUAAAUCAUUGUUCAUGCACCUUGCCAAUUAGCACAAAUAGAGAUGCAAAUUAUCCCAGAGAGUUAGAAGAUCCAAUUAUUUAAACGGCGGAUGGUGCACUCAUACAUAAGAGAAAACCCAAGCAAAACUAAUUUAUAGACAUGAUAUAUAUAAUUCAAACAAGUAAACUGCAGUUGCAUGGCCGUGCCUGUGCAAGCCAUUGAAAACACAUAUGCACAUCUAGAAGGGGGUCCAAGAACAGAGAGAGACAGAGGCAGUAGGCUAGCAUAUUUUGUAGGCUAGGUGUUGAGAUGGGAGUUCGUAUUAGGAAAGGUCAAAGGAGUUCAAUGUGUUUAGUUCUAUAAACUGUGUACUUAUCUGACAAUUAUGGAGAAGAAAAGUGAAUCAAUCAACAAAUUUCAAACCAAUAAUGGACGCAAUUGUUUGUCCAUACAACCUCCAACACGUCCACAACAACAUAAUACAAGGCAAGACGCUGCUGAAGCUCAAGCUGGCAAGAGAAAGGCAAGAGAAAAUAAUUCUUAUAAAUUAGUGAAGUAAAAUAAAAGAGCAAUACCUUCAGAGCGAUUGAUUGCUAGCUGUCUGAAUCAACUCAUGUGCAAUUUGUGAUAGAGGCAGUACAAGCAUGUAUCCUUAUCCUGCUAUAUAACUGUAGUAUGGUAAAAAACAAACGAAUUUGUCGCAAACAGUCCAAGUAAUUGGACUGCAAGAUGAAGGUGCAUACAACAUCCAAUUCUGUUAGUGGUCUUCCUCACUGAAUUUUUUUGUUCUUGAAACAAGCGGGAUCGCUACUUCUUGAAUAUUGUGGAUGAUCUUCAUUCAUCAUAACUAAGGAACAUGACUAAGAGACUUGUAAUGUCUACAUUUAUCCUUAAGAAAUUGCUGAUGUGAAGGUGCUUCAGAAGCUCACUUCAAUGCAUUUAUCGGCUUGUGCAUACACAAUUCAUUUCACUUUCAGCACAUGCACCACUUCUUCCUAGCUGGUUUGAUUCGCUACCUUGGCCUUUUAUGGCAGAAUCGUAUCUUUACCAUGUCAUAUACUCAUAUGCUUUUGAUAUGAUUGUUUUCAUGGUAUGAUGUAUGGUGGCGGAAUAGAUCCCCUAAAAAUCAUUUUGGGUCAAAUGUGAAGCCCGCUAGUCAGUAGUUGAAUUUACAACAAGGUCCCUGCAAAAUAGCACAACACACCCUAAAAGCAAAAUAUAAAUUACAAUAGGCACCCGAGACCACCGCUGGCUCGUCAGUGNNNNNNNNNNNNNNNNNNNNNNNNNNNNNNNNNNNNNNNNNNNNNNNNNNNNNNNNNNNNNNNNNNNNNNNNNNNNNNNNNNNNNNNNNNNNNNNNNNNNNNNNNNNNNNNNNNNNNNNNNNNNNNNNNNNNNNNNNNNNNNNNNNNNNNNNNNNNNNNNNNNNNNNNNNNNNNNNNNNNNNNNNNNNNNNNNNNNNNNNNNNNNNNNNNNNNNNNNNNNNNNNNNNNNNNNNNNNNNNNNNNNNNNNNNNNNNNNNNNNNNNNNNNNNNNNNNNNNCCUUUCUCUUCCACUGCUCUCCCGAGUUCUUUCUCUCUCUCACGCAUCCCUCCCCCUCUCUCCACAGGAGCACCGAACCCGCCAUGGACAGGGAGCUCACAGCUCGCGCAGCCCGGAUCCGCCUCGUUCGCCCACACCCAACCAGAUCUGUCGUCUUCUGCCUCAGUUUCUUCGCCGCCGUCGUCGUAUUCUGGCUGGCUGCCACCGGACCUGACGCACGCAUCUCGCGUUAAGCCCUGCAUCACGCCGCCAACCUCCGGCCUCGUGCGCCUGCACGGGGCAGACACAACCAAGCCGUGCCUCGUGCGCUUGCACGGAAUGACGGCAUUGUGAGGCUCUGGCUGCUCCAUGGCGACGCGCGGCCGGCCGAGGGAGGUGCUACAGUGAGCUGCCGGCAAGGCUAGCGGCGGCGGAAGCGCAGGGGCUAGAGCGGUUGCUCCUAAAACUUUCCUCUAGCCAACCGUUUUCUAGUGGGAGCUGAAACAAGGCCCCGAACACUGAAGAUAUGAGGUACUAGUAGUUGGGUUCGAGCCCUAUUUUUCUUAUGGUUUGAUAGAAAUAUGUGGGAUCUGUUCGGAUCAGUUUUUUUUUGACACAAGCUGUAAACUGACGGUUAUUAUAAAGGCCGAGGCCUUUUACAGGAUCUCCUAGAGAUGCUCUUAGAUGGUUUAAUCAGUUAUGCUUAUGUUGUGGAAACCAAACUAUUUGACAAUUAUGCAUUUUAAUUUUAUGUCGACUGGUUAAUGAUAUUUUCUGUCUCUAAUGAGCUGUCUUAUGAUUGGUGAAAAUUAUAACUUUUGUGUCCCAUUCUUUGUUAUUGUGACUAGGGAAUAUGAAUAAUGCGCUUAUAAAAUCUACUCCGUCCAUCCCAAAGUAAGUGUCGAGGGAGUAUGUGUUUGACCACUGUUGUCAUCAAGUGUGUUUAGUGAACCAGCCCAAAUUGUAAGGAGGUUCUGGUGGUUGGGACGUGUGGUAUAAAGUUUAGAGCCUUGGAUAGAUUCAAUACUUCUAUGCACCAUCUAGUUUACCCCAUGGAGAAGCUGGUAAUUAUGUAUGAUUGCAUAAAUAAAACAUCGCAUAAAAUUGUAGGCUGGAAUCUUGGUGGUCACAUGUUUUAUUGUUGCUCUAUGGUAAUUCUAGGUAAUGAUAGACAACAACAAUGAUCAGACAAUGGAAAUAUUAGAAGCAUUGUAUGCUACCAACCUUUUAUUCCACCUUCACUUUGUUCCUUAAAAA
rnacentral:lncRNA from 1 species